AGUGAACGCUGGCGGUAGGCCUAACACAUGCAAGUCGAACGGCAGCACAGUAAGAGCUUGCUCUUACGGGUGGCGAGUGGCGGACGGGUGAGGAAUACAUCGGAAUCUACUUUUUCGUGGGGGAUAACGUAGGGAAACUUACGCUAAUACCGCAUACGACCUACGGGUGAAAGCAGGGGAUCUUCGGACCUUGCGCGAUUGAAUGAGCCGAUGUCGGAUUAGCUAGUUGGCGGGGUAAAGGCCCACCAAGGCGACGAUCCGUAGCUGGUCUGAGAGGAUGAUCAGCCACACUGGAACUGAGACACGGUACAGACUCCUACGGGCGGCAGCAGUGGGGAAUAUUGGACAAUGGGCGCAAGCCUGAUCCAGACAUACCGCGUGGGUGAAGAAGGCCUUCGGGUUGUAAAGCCCUUUUGUUGGGAAAGAAAAGCAGCAGGUUAAUACCCCGCUGUUCUGACGGUACCCAAAGAAUAAGCACCGGCUAACUUCGUG
rnacentral:rRNA from 1 species